AGCAAUUUGGCGCAGUGGAAGCGCGGUAUGUAACUUCAACUCAUAACCCGGAGGUCCUACGAUCGAAACGUAGAAUUGCUA
rnacentral:tRNA from 2 species